rnacentral:rRNA from 1 species
CAGUCGCCGCGGGAAUACGUAGGUGGCAAGCGUUGUCCGGAAUUAUUGGGCGUAAAGGGCUCGCAGGCGGUUUCUUAAGUCUGAUGUGAAAGCCCCCGGCUCAACCGGGGAGGGUCAUUGGAAACUGGGAAACUUGAGUGCAGAAGAGGAGAGUGGAAUUCCACGUGUAGCGGUGAAAUGCGUAGAGAUGUGGAGGAACACCAGUAGCGAAGGCGACUCUCUGGUCUGUAACUGACGCUGAGGAGCGAAAGCGUGGGGAGCGAACAGGAUUAGAUACCCGUGUAGUCCCUGUCUCUUAUAC